rnacentral:lncRNA from 1 species
UUGUUAUAUUCCUAGUCUUUGCAGAUAAUGCGGUUGAAUGUUUUAAACUUGGUCAGCUUUGCAGCUCAAAUGGUAGAAAUUUAAUCCGUGAAUGUGACAGUCAGGGUUGUGGUGAUUUCGGAACACCAAGAGGUUCUCGUACACACAAUGGCGUCGACAUAAUUUGCAAACCAGGGAAUUCUGUCUUGACACCAUUUGCUGCGAAGAUCUGACGAAAAUCACGUUCUUAUUCAAACAACAACAAACCAUAUAACAAUGGAUUGUAUAUUCAAGGAAGCGGAGAAGCCGAAGAUAAUGCGGUUGAAUGUUUUAAACUUGGUCAGCUUUGCAGCUUAAAUGGUAGAAAUUUAAUCCGUGAAUGUGACAGUCAGGGUUGUGGUGAUUUCGGAACACCAAGAGGUUCUCGUACACACAAUGGUGUCGACAUAAUUUGCAAACCAGAGAGUUCUGUCAUGACACCAUUUGCUGCGAAGAUCUGACGAAAAUCACGUUCUUAUUCAAACAACAACAAACCAUAUAACAAUGGAUUGUAUAUUCAAGGAAGCGGAGAAGCCGAAGAUAUAAAAUGGAUAUUUCAGGUGGUCUUGGAAGAUCUGCUGGAAAGAUAUGGCGUGUUGGUCUGAUGGGGUUGAACAGUACAAAAGAUAAUGUAAAUCUUGUACUAAAAGCCUUCAAGGACGCGAUGGAAAACGUGAAACUACAAAACAAUCUGUGAGCAAACUUGAAACAAGAAUUUUAUUUUAGUUGACAAACCAAUUUAUAUUACUUAAUCAGGGUUUUGUUUUAAUAAAGAGUAAAACUAUCUCUCCAAAUCUUGUUAAUUGUUAAAUUUUAAAAUAUGACUUGGUCUGUGGCAGUCUGACAGACACAGACAUCAUUUACAGACAGGCUGAUAUUUAAAAUAGGUAACUGAGCUAUUUCUUCAGGCAGAG